UUCGCUUCAGAAGGCCUUUAUUAACCCUCCGGAGCCGUGUGGAAUAUGUUUAUAUUGGAUGGAGACACUUUCUUCAGCUCAUACUCGUUUGGUAACGCAUACUGCCAUUAUAAAGCUCGAAUGCCUCAGGAUAUUAUUAAUAUUUCUACGAUUGUGUUCGUCAUAAAGUCAUAUACACUUAGGAUGGCUUGAGGGUGAGUAAAACUUUGGGUAAUUUUCAUUUGAAAGUGAACUAAUCCUUUAAGGACACAUAAUGUAAAGUGUGACCCAAUUCUGUUUAAUAGCUACUGUCUGGGUGCAAUUUUGUCGUCUGUUACUAGAGUAACAGAUUUCCUGAGUGCACCAAAAAUAAAAUGGGCUUCAUGAUUUUAAUUAUAUUUUGAAACUAAGGAACAUGCUACAUUAAUACUUAUCUAUCCUCUAUAUUUGUUCAUUUAAAUGUAAUUCUCUUAACCCUCCUCAUUCCAAACGUCAUUUGUCUCUUAUUUUCUUGCAAUAAUUCUGUUGCCAGGCCAACUCACAGAACGUAUUGACUUGUCAAAUUGGUUUCUUUUUUUUGGCCAGGAAAUAAAAUCAUAAAUAUCAGCACAUAAGCAUGAUGCUCCACAUAUUUAAACUAUAUAGGCUACCAUACGUUUACUUGAAAUGUCGUAGUAGCCUGUAUUUGUCAUUAUAGAAUGUUACGGAAUGUUACUACAAGUCUAUAUUGUCAAACAUUUCCAUAUAAGAAUAAUAGUAUUGUGUUUAAGUUCGAAUUUUCCACCUUGGAAAUGAGGAGGACAAAGAGACAUUUGAAGAAUCUGAAAUUUGGAAGUUCAGACCAGGGAAACUUCCCUGGAAACUCCUCUUGUAAAACUCCGCACGCAGGUGGAUGCAAUAAAAGCCGUCUCACAGUUGCAAGUCUGGGCAUAUCCUUGAGAAGGCACCAUAAGAAGACACCUUGGGUCUCUUUUAAGAGUUUACAGAAGACCUUUGGACUCCCUGUUCUACAUUUAGUGGUUAAUUGUGCAGGGAAUCUACCUUCAGGUGCAAUAAAAUCUAGUUUAAAAGCUGCGUUUGAUGACUGUAGCCGCAGUGUUUUGACAUUCAUCGCAUUGACAGACGACGAGGCGAAAUCAAUCGGACAAAAUCAAGAUGUUUUGUGAAACUUCUCUGUGGAGCAUGGGAAGCGACGAACAUCUUCAGACAACCAGGGAUCCAAUAUGCCUGGUGGAAAUCUCAUCAGGAAGAUCUGUGUCCAUUGAGGACAUGAGUGGAGAAGGAUGGAUAUCUGAAUACCAGACGCCAUCCAAACAGGAUCGCAGGAUCAUCAGUAAACCACAUAAAACAGUCAUAAAACGAAUCUUCCACUCUGCAAAGUCCUGGGCCUUCCUCCAGUUCAAGGCAUCCACACCAGCAUGAUGGGACAAGUGACCCUGCUGUGUGAAAAAGACUUUUAAAAGGACUUGCAUGUUGAACAUGUUAAUUUAUCAUAUAGUAUGCUUUUUUAUGCUUUUAUUUAGUAGUAAAUCAAAUUAAACAUGGACUCUAUUUAUUAAGGAGAAAUUGGAUGCUUGUUUCUUUAGGUACGUAAUGUCAGGCAUCUGCUGUUCCUUUGAGAUUCCACCAGAGGGCAGGAAUGAGAUCACUGCCACUGUAAUAAAACAUUUGUGUUGACAAGGGAUGCGUCUCAAUCAGCUCCCUAGUUCAGUAGUCAGGGCACUGAUCAUGGAGUUGGCCAUUUUAAGGGCUGUCUCAAUCACAAAAUCCUUCCAGUGCUCUGAAACGUUUGCUCCAUAAAAAGUCCCACAGUGAACUGUGAAAACCAGGGAGCAUCGAUGCUCACUAUGUUCCCUUAAGUUCUGAAGCACGGAACAUAAAUCACGUGGGCCAACUCACCACACAUAGUGACAACCAAGUUUUUGUUUCAUAUUACUGUAGGUUGAGCUGGUCAGAUUGGACUAUUUUGUGAAGGAAUUAAACAAAUUAAAUAUUAAGUAAUUGUUGUUAUAUAUGAUUACGUAGGCUACAUGAAUAUUAACUGUUAAUUUACAGUAUGGAAGAUGUGAUUUCUCUUUGUAUUGUGUCUGUGUAUGUUUACAGCUAAAUUCAAAAUGCACUAAAAUGGCUUUCAAGAUAUGUGUAUUUGUAUAUAAUAUAAUCUAUGGUUUAUUAAUAAAGUAUGUUUAAAUUGUA